rnacentral:rRNA from 1 species
UACGAAGGGGGCUAGCGUUGCUCGGAAUCACUGGGCGUAAAGGGUGCGUAGGUUGUUGUAUAAGUUAUCUGUGAAAUCCCUGGGCUUAACCUGGGCAGGUCAGAUAAGACUGUAUGACUCGAGUAUAGGAGAGGGUAGUGGAAUUUCCGGUGUAGCGGUGAAAUGCGUAGAGAUCGGAAGGAACACCGGUGGCGAAGGCGGUUCUCUGGGCCUUACCUGACGCUGAGGAGCGAAAGCGUGGGGAGCGAACAGG